AACGAACGCUGGCGGCAGGCUUAACACAUGCAAGUCGAACGCAUCGCAAGGUGAGUGGCAGACGGGUGAGUAACGCGUGGGAACAUACCCUUUUCUACGGAAUAGCUCUGGGAAACUGGAAUUAAUACCGUAUACGCCCUACGGGGGAAAGAUUUAUCGGGGAAGGAUUGGCCCGCGUUGGAUUAGCUAGUUGGUGGGGUAAAGGCCUACCAAGGCGACGAUCCAUAGCUGGUCUGAGAGGAUGAUCAGCCACAUUGGGACUGAGACACGGCCCAAACUCCUACGGGAGGCAGCAGUGGUGAAUAUUGGACAAUGGGCGCAAGCCUGAUCCAGCCAUGCCGCGUGAGUGAUGAAGGCCUUAGGGUUGUAAAGCUCUUUCACCGAUGAAGAUAAUGACGGUAGUCGGAGAAGAAGCCCCGGCUAACUUCGUGCCAGCAGCCGCCGUAACAC
rnacentral:rRNA from 1 species